rnacentral:rRNA from 1 species
AGUGUAGGCGGUUGCUUAAGUCGGAUGUGAAAGCCCCGGGCUCAACCUGGGAAUUGCAUUCGAUACUGGGUGGCUAGAGUUUGGUAGAGGUAAGUGGAAUUCCGGGUGUAGCGGUGAAAUGCGUAGAUAUCCGGAGGAACAUCAGUGGCGAAGGCGGCCUCCUGGGCUGCUCCUGACGCUGAAGGCGAAAGCUAGGGGAGCGAACG